rnacentral:tRNA from 2 species
UGCCGCCGUAGCUCAGUAGGUAGAGCGCCUGGCUGUUAACCAGGUCGUCGUCAGUUCGAGUCUGUCCGGCGGCGU